ensembl:rRNA 5S_rRNA 5S ribosomal RNA
GAUUACGGCCUUAACACACUGACAACGCCCCAUCUCGUCUGAUCUCGGAAGCUAAGCAGAGUUGGGCUGGGUCAGUACUUGGAUGGGUGACCCCCUGGGAUAACCUGGUGCUGUAAGCA